GUGCUCGCUUCGGCAGUACAUAUACUAAACUUGGAAUGAUACAGAGAAGAUUAGCAUGGCCCCUGCACAAGGAUGACCCAACUCCCUACAGAGAAAGUAAUCAUUAUG
ensembl:snRNA U6 U6 spliceosomal RNA